CCUACGGGAGGCAGCAGUAGGGAAUCUUCCGCAAUGGACGAAAGUCUGACGGAGCAACGCCGCGUGAACGAUGAAGGCCUUCGGGUCGUAAAGUUCUGUUGUUAGGGAAGAACAAGUGCUAGUUAAAUAAGCUGGCACCUUGACGGUACCUAACCAGAAAGCCACGGCUAACUACGUGCCAGCAGUCGCGGUAAUACGUAGGUGGCAAGCGUUGUCCGGAAUUAUUGGGCGUAAAGCGCGCGCAGGCGGUUUCUUAAGUCUGAUGUGAAAGCCCCCGGCUCAACCGGGGAGGGUCAUUGGAAACUGGGAAACUUGAGUGCAGAAGAGGAAAGUGGAAUUCCAAGUGUAGCGGUGAAAUGCGUAGAGAUUUGGAGGAACACCAGUGGCGAAGGCGACUUUCUGGUCUGUAACUGACGCUGAGGCGCGAAAGCGUGGGGAGCAAACAGGAUUAGAUACCCUGGUAGUCCACGCUGUAAACGAUGAGUGCUAAGUGUUAGAGGGUUUCCGCCCUUUAGUGCUGAAGUUAACGCAUUAAGCACUCCGCCUGGGGAGUACGGUCGCAAGACUGAAACUCAAAGGAUUGACGG
rnacentral:rRNA from 1 species